rnacentral:tRNA from 1 species
AGUCUUAUAUUCAAAAAUGAUAUGAAAUUGCAAAUUUUAAGGAGUAAAAUAAAAUAUACUAAGGCUU